AGAGUUUGAUCCUGGCUCAGAUUGAACGCUGGCGGAAUGCUUUACACAUGCAAGUCGAACGAUGAACCUUAGCUUGCUAAGGGGAUUAGUGGCGAACGGGUGAGUAAUAUAUCGGAACGUGCCUUGUAGUGGGGGAUAACUAGUCGAAAGAUUAGCUAAUACCGCAUACGCCCUGAGGGGGAAAGUAGGGGAUCUUCGGACCUUACGUUAUAAGAGCGGCCGAUAUCUGAUUAGCUAGUUGGUGGGGUAAAGGCCUACCAAGGCAUCGAUCAGUAGCUGGUCUGAGAGGACGACCAGCCACACUGGAACUGAGACACGGUCCAGACUCCUACGGGAGGCAGCAGUGGGGAAUUUUGGACAAUGGGGGCAACCCUGAUCCAGCAAUGCCGCGUGAGUGAAGAAGGCCUUCGGGUUGUAAAGCUCUUUUGUCAGGGAAGAAACGGUGAGGGCUAAUAUCCUUUGCUAAUGACGGUACCUGAAGAAUAAGCACCGGCUAACUACGUGCCAGCAGCCGCGGUAAUACGUAGGGUGCAGGCGUUAAUCGGAAUUACUGGGCGUAAAGCGUGCGCAGGCGGUUAUGUAAGUCAGAUGUGAAAUCCCCGGGCUCAACCUGGGAAUGGCAUUUGAGACUGCACGGCUAGAGUGUGUCAGAGGGGGGUAGAAUUCCACGUGUAGCAGUGAAAUGCGUAGAGAUGUGGAGGAAUACCGAUGGCGAAGGCAGCCCCCUGGGAUAACACUGACGCUCAUGCACGAAAGCGUGGGGAGCAAACAGGAUUAGAUACCCUGGUAGUCCACGCCCUAA
rnacentral:rRNA from 1 species